CGCGGGUCCAAGCCUGUUGCCCCAAAUCGGAUAAUCUCUGCCGCUGAUAACAAGCAAAAAAAGAAGCCAGGCAACAACCAUAUUAAAGAAGAAAACAACUGAGAGG
rfam:Erinaceus europaeus unplaced genomic scaffold scaffold00006, whole genome shotgun sequence